CCUUGAAAUACCACCCUUUAAUGUUUGAUGUUCUAACGUUGGCCCGUAAUCCGGGUUGCGGACAGUGUCUGGUGGGUAGUUUGACUGGGGCGGUCUCCUCCUAAAGAGUAACGGAGGAGCACGAAGGUUGGCUAAUCCUGGUCGGACAUCAGGAGGUUAGUGCAAUGGCAUAAGCCAGCUUGACUGCGAGCGUGACGGCGCGAGCAGGUGCGAAAGCAGGUCAUAGUGAUCCGGUGGUUCUGAAUGGAAGGGCCAUCGCUCAACGGAUAAAAGGUACUCCGGGGAUAACAGGCUGAUACCGCCCAAGAGUUCAUAUCGACGGCGGUGUUUGGCACCUCGAUGUCGGCUCAUCACAUCCUGGGGCUGAAGUAGGUCCCAAGGGUAUGGCUGUUCGCCAUUUAAAGUGGUACGCGAGCUGGGUUUAGAACGUCGUGAGACAGUUCGGUCCCUAUCUGCCGUGGGCGCUGGAGAACUGAGGGGGGCUGCUCCUAGUACGAGAGGACCGGAGUGGACGCAUCACUGGUGUUCGGGUUGUCAUGCCAAUGGCACUGCCCGGUAGCUAAAUGCGGAAGAGAUAAGUGCUGAAAGCAUCUAAGCACGAAACUUGCCCCGAGAUGAGUUCUCCCUGACUCCUUGAGGGUCCUGAAGGAACGUUGAAGACGACGACGUUGAUAGGCCGGGUGUGUAAGCGCAGCGAUGCGUUGAGCUAACCGGUACUAAUGAACCGUGAGGCUUAACCUU
rnacentral:rRNA from 1 species